AGGGCAGUAGCUCUAACGGUAGAGCGGCGGACUCCAAAUUCGUAGGUUGGGGGUUCGAAUCCCUCCUGCCCUG
rnacentral:tRNA from 1 species